rnacentral:rRNA from 1 species
AAGCCAAGCUUGCUUGGUGGAUCAGUGGCGAACGGGUGAGUAACACGUGAGCAACCUGCCCUGGACUCUGGGAUAAGCGCUGGAAACGGUGUCUAAUACUGGAUAUGAGCUUUCACCGCAUGGUGGGGGUUGGAAAGAUUUUUCGGUCUGGGAUGGGCUCGCGGCCUAUCAGCUUGUUGGUGAGGUAAUGGCUCACCAAGGCGUCGACGGGUAGCCGGCCUGAGAGGGUGACCGGCCACACUGGGACUGAGACACGGCCCAGACUCCUACGGGAGGCAGCAGUGGGGAAUAUUGCACAAUGGGCGGAAGCCUGAUGCAGCAACGCCGCGUGAGGGAUGACGGCCUUCGGGUUGUAAACCUCUUUUAGCAGGGAAGAAGCGUGAGUGACGGUACCUGCAGAAAAAGCGCCGGCUAACUACGUGCCAGCAGCCGCGGUAAUACGUAGGGCGCAAGCGUUAUCCGGAAUUAUUGGGCGUAAAGAGCUCGUAGGCGGUUUGUCGCGUCUGCUGUGAAAUCCCGAGGCUCAACCUCGGGCCUGCAGUGGGUACGGGCAGACUAGAGUGCGGUAGGGGAGAUUGGAAUUCCUGGUGUAGCGGUGGAAUGCGCAGAUAUCAGGAGGAACACCGAUGGCGAAGGCAGAUCUCUGGGCCGUAACUGACGCUGAGGAGCGAAAGGGUGGGGAGCAAACAGGCUUAGAUACCCUGGUAGUCCACCCCGUAAACGUUGGGAACUAGUUGUGGGGACCAUUC